GCCCUUUUCCGGUUGAUCCUGCCGGAGGCUAUUGCUAUCGGCUGUCCGAUUUAGCCAUGCUAGUCGCACGAGUUCAGACUCGUGGCGAAUAGCUCAGUAACACGUGGCCAAACUACCCUUCGGAGGGGGAUAACCUCGGGAAACUGAGGCUAAUAGUGGAUACCACAGUCCACCUGGAAUGAGGACUGUGCCAAACGCUCCGGCGCCGAAGGAUGUGGCUGCGGCCGAUUAGGUAGACGGUGGGGUAACGGCCCACCGAGACAAUAAUCGGUACUGGUCAUGACAUUGACAACCCCGAUACCUAAUUUGAUACAAUAUUCCGGGCCCUACCGGGCACAGCAAGCACCACACCUUUACGCUGCACUACAGUUAUAUAAGGAAAUCC
rnacentral:rRNA from 1 species